rnacentral:rRNA from 1 species
GACGAACGCUGGCGGCGUGCUUAACACAUGCAAGUCGAACGGAAAGGCCCUGCUUUUGUGGGGUGCUCGAGUGGCGAACGGGUGAGUAACACGUGAGUAACCUGCCCUUGACUUUGGGAUAACUUCAGGAAACUGGGGCUAAUACCGGAUAGGAGCUCCUGCUGCAUGGUGGGGGUUGGAAAGUUUCGGCGGUUGGGGAUGGACUCGCGGCUUAUCAGCUUGUUGGUGGGGUAGUGGCUUACCAAGGCUUUGACGGGUAGCCGGCCUGCGAGGGUGACCGGCGACAUUGGGACUGAGGUACGGCCCAGACGCCUACGGGAGGCAGCAGUGGGGAAUAUUGCACAAUGGGCGGAAGCCUGAUGCAGCAGCGCCGCGUGCGGGAUGACGGCCUUCUGGUUGUAAACCGCUGUCGCCUGUGACGAAGCGUGAGUGACGGUAAUGGGUAAAGAAGCACCGGCUAACUACGUG